rnacentral:rRNA from 1 species
UUUCCCCAGGAAUAUUGGCUUUGCGUUUUAAUUUUUAACUCUAAUUUUUGUUUUAUCUUGAUUUUUUUUUUUUUUUUUUUUUCUAUUUUUGUGAAAUGUUUUGGUUUUUUAUAUUUUUUUGGGAUAUUUAAAAUUUGUUUUUUGAACUGGAUUAGUACCCAGGUAAUCAAAGUUUAAUAAUUCGGGAGUAAAGUUUUGUUUAAACCGAAAAAAUAUUGACUGACUUUAGAUUUUUCUUUGGAACAUGUGAUAGAUUAGGAUAGUCCUCUUUUUUUGUUAUUUCUGUAGGCACAUGUAUGAUUGUUUAGCUUUUAUUUUUUUUGUGAUGCUUUUACUUUUUUGUUUUAAAAUAGAUAUAUAUUUGGCUUAUGUUUUUUUGUUCAUGUGUUACUAUUUUUAAUUUUUUUUGGAUUGUUUUUUAAUUUUUAUAUGAAAUUGGAAAAGAGAGUAAUUKRAUUUUUAUAUUUUGAGGAAAUUAAA